AUAGCGAGAUGAGGCGCAUCCAUCAUCAGUAACUUAUCAAGCAAUUGAUCCCCGGGGGUCAUGGUGAGUGAAAGGGUAAGAUGCCGAAAUGAUCUGUUUUUUCGGGGAACAGGCUGUUGGGUCAGAAGGUUAAGAGCUACUGACUUGUCAUUAUUUUAAAGAUAAUGGAGUGCAUCACUUGUA
rnacentral:ncRNA from 2 species